rnacentral:rRNA from 1 species
AGCAGCCGCGGUAAUUCCAGCUCCAAUAGCGUAUAUUAAAGUUGUUGCAGUUAAAAAGCUCGUAGUUGAACUUCAGGCCUGGCUGGACGGUCCGCCUUCCGGGCGAGUACUGUCUGUGGUCGGGUCCUACCUUCUGGCGAAGCGUCAUGGCCUUAACCGGCCGUGGCGGGGAACCAGGACUUUUACUGUGAAAAAAUUAGAGUGUUCAAAGCAGGCAAUUUCGCUUGGAUACAUUAGCAUGGAAUAAUGGAAUAGGACAAUGGUUCUAUUUGUUGGUUUCUAGGACUGUUGUAAUGAUUAAUAGGGAUAGUUGGGGGCAUUAGUAUUCAAUUGUCAGAGGUGAAAUUCUUGGAUUUAUUGAAGACUAACUACUGCGAAAGCAUUUGCCAAGGAUGUUUU